rnacentral:rRNA from 1 species
AAUCUGGGGCCUUCGGCCUCCGAGUUGUAAUUUGGAGAGGCAUCUUCGGGGGGGAGCGCCGGCCCAAGUUCCUUGGAACAGGACGUCGCAGAGGGUGAGAAUCCCGUGCCAGGCCGGCAGCCUCCUCCCGGGUGAAGGUCCUUCGACGAGUCGAGUUGUUUGGGAAUGCAGCUCCAAGUGGGUGGUAUAUUUCAUCUAAAGCUAAAUACCGGCGGGAGACCGAUAGCGCACAAGUAGAGUGAUCGAAAGAUGAAAAGCACUUUGAAAAUAGAGUCAAAAAGUACGUGAAAUUGUUGAAAGGGAAGCGCUUGAGACCAGACUCAGACCCGGGCAAACACCGCGCCCCCCGGGGCCGUGCAAUUGCCUGGGGCUGGGCCAGCAUCAGUUGGCGUGGCGGGACAAAGGCGGGGGCAAUGUGGCUCCCCUCGGGGAGUGUUAUUAGGCCCCGGCUCAAUGCCGCCGACGUCGACUGAGGACCGCGCCUCGGCUAGGAUGCUGGCUUAAUGGCCUUCAGCGACCCGUCUUGAAACACGGA